UACGUAGGGGGCAAGCGUUGUCCGGAAUUACUGGGCGUAAAGCGCGCGUAGGCGGAUCUGCAAGUCGGGGGUGAAAUCCCGAGGCUCAACCUCGGAACUGCCUUCGAUACUGCGGGUCUCGAGUCCGGGAGAGGUGAGUGGAAUUCCUAGUGUAGAGGUGAAAUUCGUAGAUAUUAGGAAGAACACCAGUGGCGAAGGCGGCUCACUGGCCCGGUACUGACGCUGAGGCGCGAAAGCGUGGGGAGCAAACAGG
rnacentral:rRNA from 1 species